rnacentral:lncRNA from 1 species
UCGCGCUCGGAGCUUGCGGCUAGGACUUUUGGAGGGCUGAGUUGCAGGCGGCGGGCGCAUCCCAGAGAUGGCGGGGCAGGGAGGGAGGGAAAGAGAGGAGGGGGUGGGGAGGGAGGUGCAGAUUUGCACGGAUGGCCUCAGCGGGAGGCGCGGAAAUGCUAGCCAAGCCUGCUGGCGUGAAAGCCCCCGGGGCCUGGCACCCCCCAAAACGACCCCCCACCUCUGCCCCUGCCCCCUCUUGCUUGGGUUACGCAGGGCUGUCCCUCUCUUCCUUCACCCACCUUUCCUCAUUACCUAUGCUGGCGACCUAAAUUCAAAGUAUUUUGUAUGUGUGAUUUCUUUUUCUGUUUUGCUUUUCUACUGCAUGCCUGGGGGGAGGGGCCAGCCUGUCCAGACCCUUAUCCAUUUGCGAACCUGCCAUAUGGAGGAGGCAUCUGAGGGGCUCAGAAAGAAAUUACCUCAGCACUGUAUCUGUACAGACUGCAUAACUUUUAAACUCCCGGGGCUGAAAUAAUAAUAUGGAGACACACGCACAGGUACAGGAAAUACAGCCAGUCCACAGCCUUUUCAGACUGCAGCUGACCGGAAGAAAGCCUUUGGUUCAUUCAUUCGGAUAGCCUCGGUAGUACAGCCCUGAAAUAGAAGUUGGGCUUUUAAAGAGAAAGGAAAAAAAGUCUCUACACUCGCUGAGAAGAGAUAAAUCGAUACACAGGAGGGAAUAGAGAAUCGGAUUCAGCGUCUCUAAUGCAGGCAGGCAAAAGGCUUCUGUGCCCUGUGGCUUGAAGUAAAAAAGAAACAAAACUCUUUAACAACUGUCCAGCCUGACUCUUGGAGAACGGCUUAAUGUUCUACUUAGCAUUCUGGGUGGUUUUUUGUUUUUCCAGUGUGCCUCUUCCUGUGUAAGGACUGGAAAGGACCCUGGAAACCACAGGCAGAAGUCCAACAAAGUCCUAAUACCUCAUAUUGCGGUGGCUCUAUUUCGAAGAAGACAAGACAUCUCAAGUUGAAGGCACUUAGAACUAAAGCAUUUACAUAAAGGGGCAUGGAGAACCUAGACAGUACCUCAAGAUGCUGGACAGGAACUCCCCUGCCUCAAAGGAACGAGAUGACGAAUGAGGAUGCCUAAAACCUCCUCUGGCCUCCGAGAGUCCAUGGGUCCAAGCACCUGCACAUGACACAUGCAUAAGUAAUGAUCACCCAGUGCCCAAUGCUGAGCCUGUGGCUACGGAGAGAGAGAGCAGACAUAUCUUCUUGCCUCUGGCUACUAGACUGCCCUGAGAUCAGAGAGAUCCUGCACCAGGUGCCUGGGUUGUACAGAACCAGGGACGGAACGUAUGGUGUUGGGUGUGAUAGGUAAUCACUUAGCUACAUCACCCACAUCCCUGCCUGUCACUGUCUUUAAUAUACAUCAUAUCUUAAGCGGUACCUCUGUUUGGUCUCAAACUACAACUUAGCUGGAAGCCCACACCCUGCCAUUUCUCCCCAAGUGCCCGCACUACAAUCCCUCCCACGGGGUGUAGUUCCUCUUUCCUGGGUAAAUUAUUUUGCAGGUGGUGUCACUGGCCACUGGCUUUUAAUCCUUUUCAGAUGGCAUUCAGUAAUUCAUAGAUUGUUCAUGAAACGCAACCUUGCACACACGCGCGCGCACACAGAGCAGCCUUUAUAGGAAACCCUCCUGUUCCCUCCCUCCCCGUGCCACCUGUUCCUGGAAGAGAACAGGCUUUCCCCUGGGGAGGAUGGAAUGUUCCACAAAAGGACAGUUGGCUCUUCUCCCCAGCUCCAAGAGGAACUCUUAGUCAUCUAACAUCUGCCUCUCUUGUUUAAGUAAAAAAUUCUUUGCAAAGACAGAUCUUGUCUUCAGCCCCAUGGAUCCGGCUCACAGGGUACACGUCUAAAAAUACUUAGGGGCUGGAGAGAGGGCCCAGUGGUUAAGAACACUUGCUGUUCUGACCAAAGGACCUGAGGGGCUCACAACCAUUUGUGCAUGUUCUCAAACAGGCGCGUGCGAGAGCACGUGUGCACACACAUACCUGUGCGUAAAAAUAAAAAAUGUGAUAAAGAAAAAAC